rnacentral:rRNA from 1 species
UAAUACAUCGGAACGUGUCCCGUAGUGGGGGAUAGCCCGGCGAAAGCCGGAUUAAUACCGCAUAUACUCUACGGAGGAAAGUGGGGGACUCGCAAGGGCCUCACGCUAUGGGAGCGGCCGAUGUCCGAUUAGCUUGUUGGCGGGGUAAUGGCCCACCAAGGCGACGAUCGGUAGCUGGUCUGAGAGGAUGAUCAGCCACACUGGGACUGAGACACGGCCCAG